rnacentral:rRNA from 1 species
AGAGUUUGAUCCUGGCUCAGGAUGAACGCUAGCUACAGGCUUAACACAUGCAAGUCGAGGGGCAGCAUGGUCUUAGCUUGCUAAGGCCGAUGGCGACCGGCGCACGGGUGAGUAACACGUAUCCAACCUGCCGUCUACUCUUGGACAGCCUUCUGAAAGGAAGAUUAAUACAAGAUGGCAUCAUGAGUCCACAUGUUCACAUGAUUAAAGGUAUUCCGGUAGACGAUGGGGAUGCGUUCCAUUAGAUAGUAGGCGGGGUAACGGCCCACCUAGUCUUCGAUGGAUAGGGGUUCUGAGAGGAAGGUCCCCCACAUUGGAACUGAGACACGGUCCAAACUCCUACGGGAGGCAGCAGUGAGGAAUAUUGGUCAAUGGGCGAGAGCCUGAACCAGCCAAGUAGCGUGAAGGAUGACUGCCCUAUGGGUUGUAAACUUCUUUUAUAUGGGAAUAAAGUAUUCCACGUGUGGAAUUUUGUAUGUACCAUAUGAAUAAGGAUCGGCUAACUCCGUGCCAGCAGCCGCGGUAAUACGGAGGAUCCGAGCGUUAUCCGGAUUUAUUGGGUUUAAAGGGAGCGUAGAUGGAUGUUUAAGUCAGUUGUGAAAGUUUGCGGCUCAACCGUAAAAUUGCAGUUGAUACUGGAUAUCUUGAGUGCAGUUGAGGCAGGCGGAAUUCGUGGUGUAGCGGUGAAAUGCUUAGAUAUCACGAAGAACUCCGAUUGCGAAGGCAGCCUGCUGGACUGUAACUGACGCUGAUGCUCGAAAGUGUGGGUAUCAAACAGGAUUAGAUACCCUGGUAGUCCACACAGUAAACGAUGAAUACUCGCUGUUUGCGAUAUACAGUAAGCGGCCAAGCGAAAGCGUUAAGUAUUCCACCUGGGGAGUACGCCGGCAACGGUGAAACUCAAAGGAAUUGACGGGGGCCCGCACAAGCGGAGGAACAUGUGGUUUAA